rnacentral:lncRNA from 1 species
GCCUAUAAUAUCCUUGGGGAAACUAAAAACAAGGUAGCAUUAAUACGAUCCAUUCCCCAGCCAUAGGACAUCUACUAGUGCCAAAUGGAACCUGUGGAAGUUUUAGUUAAUUCAAUGAGUAGAGCUAUUUGAAUAAGUUUAUGACGUGCUCUCUCUUACUUACCCAUGUGGAACACCAAACAACAUUCUGCAUGGAUCUGAGCAUGACAAGUAGGAUAUGUUGAGUAUGGCCUAUACAAAGAAUGGAAAGAUGCCCAC